GAGUUUGAUCGUGGCUCAGAACGAACGCUGGCGGCAUGCCUAACACAUGCAAGUCGAACGAGACCUUCGGGUCUAGUGGCGCACGGGUGCGUAACGCGUGGGAAUCUGCCCUUGGGUUCGGAAUAACAGUUAGAAAUGACUGCUAAUACCGGAUGAUGUCUUCGGACCAAAGAUUUAUCGCCCAGGGAUGAGCCCGCGUCGGAUUAGCUAGUUGGUGAGGUAAAGGCUCACCAAGGCGACGAUCCGUAGCUGGUCUGGGAGGAUGAUCAGCCACACUGGGACUGAGACACGGCCCAGACUCCUACGGGAGGCAGCAGUGGGGAAUAUUGGACAAUGGGCGAAAGCCUGAUCCAGCAAUGCCGCGUGAGUGAUGAAGGCCUUAGGGUUGUAAAGCUCUUUACCGGGAUGAUAAUGACAGUACCGGAGAAUAAGCCCGGCUAACUCCGUGCCAGCAGCCGCGGUAA
rnacentral:rRNA from 1 species